rnacentral:lncRNA from 1 species
ACACUGUUUUCUUUUCUCAAAGAUCAGUAUGGACUAAUAAAAUAUACAUUAUCUGAAGGCACAUUACGAAGUACCAGCAGGUCAAACACUCCUACGUGCAAUGCAAUAAAAUAAAGAUUCGAAGGGAGCAAUAGACCACAAACGUCAGAGCUUAGGUAUCAAUCAACCAAGACUUAAGCAAAAACUACUGAAUCCCAUAACACGGUUGAUUAGCAGCGGCUGCAGGGUUAUACAGCUCUUGGUAAGUUCAAUACAGACGAGCAGUACAAGCAUCAGGAUCAAGUGCUUCUGCUUCAGCAAUGUACAAAAGAGAGAGACAUAGCUAUACUGGGUUUGCUGGCCUAGACAUUUGCAAAGGAGAGAGACCACGAAAAAGGUUUUGCCAAAGGUCCACCUCGCAAGCGCAAGAAACAUCCGGUUUGUUAAGAUUUUUUGUCAAAAUAGACCACCUGCCGAACAAAAUUGUCAAAAAAAAACCCUUCUGAGACGAAGUGACAAAAAGGACCCCCUCAACUGUGGCGGCAGGCCCGGCAGGCGACACGUGCCACCUGCCGCCACGGCACGAGGCGGCAGGGCCUGCCGCCACGGGGGCAGGCGGCGUGCUGGGCAGAACGGGAGGCCUGGCCGCCUCGUAGCAUGGCGGCAGCCCUGUUCCCUCGCUGGAUUCCCGCUCGCUACCCGCCGUGGUUUUCUACACGCGCUGAUUCCUAGAACUGCACUAAUUCGGAAAGCCCACUGAUUCCUAGCCGGCUACUCCAGUUUUGUAUAUUAAGAUUAGAUGCUAAUAUCCUUAAUGAUGUACGUACUUCCUCCGUUUUUAUUUAGUUCGCAUAUUAGCUUUGGUCAAAGUUAAGCUUUACAAAUUUUGACCAAGUUUAUAAACAAAAAUAUUAAGAUAUACAAUAACAAAUCAACAACAUUAUAUUUAUUAUUGAAUGUACUUUCACGUCGUAUAGAUUUAUUAUGAUAGAUGUCUAUAUUGUUUUGUAUAAACUUGGUCAAACUUUACAAAGUUUGACUUCAGUCAACUCUAAUAUGCAGAGUAAAUAAAAACAGAGGGAGUAAUUAGGUAAAAAUAAUAUCAUCUGAGAAGCAAAGGAGGAGAUGACGUGAUUGAAGAAAUUGUCCGUUAAUAUAUUACUGAUGGAUAUAUUUUCGGACUAUUGUGACGCUUAAUUUUAUUCGAAACAAUAUGUAUACUAAACCUAAGGUCUAAAUGACGCCUUGUAAUGUCGUGAAUAUCUUUUGUAUUUAUGUAUUGUUGUGAAUGAUGUUACUGCUGCUGCUAUUAUUUGUCGUAUUAUUAUUUGUAAGUAAACGAUAAUUAUCGGAUGGUAUGAAAAAAUAUUAAAAUUGAAAGAUAUUAAAUGUCUUACUCAUAUGAUAUUAAAAUAUUAUUAUCACACUAUUAUAUUUAUAGUCUAAGAAAAUGAUACUAAAAACAAACCGAUUAUUAUCACACUACAUCCACGCGGAUGUUUGCCACCGUUAUUGGGAGACGAGGACGCCGUUCCCCUGGAGAAAUGUUCACCUGCCCAAUAACUGGCAUUUGUCCGCGGACCGGGUGCCGAUCCCGCCGGUCCCGAUGUUCACCUGCCCAUGACAUGUUGAAGGAGCCGGUCCUUCUUUGCCGGCACCACAUCGGGGCCGCAGCGGCCACGUGAGCGCCCCGCGCGUGCUCCGAGCCCUCCCCACAUGCGCGGGCGUACACGGGUGCGCGACAUCAUGCCGACGCCGUUGCCUUUGCCCUCUCCGUCGCCACCACCACCUCCUCGCAUGAUAGAGGAGGAGGAGGCCCGGCUCCUUCACUGUGUCAUGGAAUACUCCAUGAACACGCACGAUGAGCGCCAAAUGGGAGGGCCUGGAGACCAUGAUUGCCCACUCUGCGGCCGGCCACAUGGCCGUGUCGGAGCUAGAGAUGAGGGACGUCAAGGAGGAGGUGAGGGAGAAGGUGCUGGCGCCUCCCACCUUCCAGGAGCGCAAGACGUCGCCACGGGGUGAGGUGGUGCAGGCGCCUCCCACCUUCCAGGAGCCUCCCGCCUUACAGGGACCGACCCACCUCUGGACGCCGCCGCCCUAUAUCGACCUCAUUGGCGACGAGGACGACAACAACGACGCGUGAGGAGACGGCGACGGGCACGGCAUCGACGGGCACGUCAGGAGCGCGCGGGCGGCGCUUUGCUUUUGUUUUUUAUGUUAAUUAUGUCUAUGUGAACUGCUGAACGGGGUCAUUCUGGGGCCUGAUGUUUAAUUAUGUUCUUAUAUCUUUAUGUUUGCGUUUAUUUUAAUUUUUUUGGCAUUUUAUUGAGUUUUUGUGAUUUUUUUAUAUCACGUCCACCCCAAACAUGAUAUGGGUUUCGGCCGCGUGUUGGGUGCACCGACACGGCAACGGUCCCAAACGGACAUGGACGACCCCAUUGCUGCCCCAAAUAGAUAAAAGCAGGCCAAAACGGACGUCUGUUUAAAGUCAUGUGCUGGAGUUGGCCUUAAUGCUGUCGCAUCGUGGGAAUCACGCAGUGCAUUGCCGUCUUCAAUUAGUGCCAAAAAGACGAAACAUUGGGAAUCAGUGACCCAUCGCAUCCGUCAAGCCAAAGCAACAGCACAGGAUGUUGGCCCGUAUAGGAAAGCACGGCGGGAGCGAGCGGGAAUCCAGCGAAGUAACAGGACUGCCGCCAGCCCGCGAGGCGGCAAGGCCCAGCCGGCACAAUCGUGCCGCCGUGCUACGAGGCGGCCAGGCCCCACUGUCGUUGCCGUUCCGUCGCGAGCGCGAGAAUCCCGUUCUGCCCAGAAUGCCGCCUGGCCCCGUGGCGCCAGGCCCUGCCGCCUCGCCCCGUGGCGGCAGGUGCCACGUGUCGCCUGCCGGGCCUGCCGCCACGGCUGAGGGGGUCUUUUUUGCCACUUCGUCUCAGAGAGGUUUUUUUUUGGCAAUUUCAUUCGACAUGUGGUCUCUUUUGACAAAAAUUCGUUUGUUAAUACUUUCUUCUUCAUCAUCAUCCCACGAGAAUCAAAGAUGAAAAGGGGGC